rnacentral:rRNA from 1 species
UACGGAGGGUGCAAGCGUUAUCCGGAUUCACUGGGUUUAAAGGGUGCGUAGGCGGGCAUGUAAGUCAGUGGUGAAAUCUUCAGGCUUAACCUGAAAAUUGCCGUUGAUACUAUGUGUCUUGAAUAUCGUUGAGGUUUGCGGAAUAUGUCAUGUAGCGGUGAAAUGCUUAGAUAUGACAUAGAACACCAAUUGCGAAGGCAGCAGGCUAAACGAACAUUGACGCUGAGGCACGAAAAGCGUGGGGAUCAAACAGG